ACCCAACGCGGGUGAGUCGAGGAUUUAUGCAAUCUUGGCCGACGUCUAAACUCUACUCCAACAUCUAAGUUCUCAACGACCUUUUCCUCCCCCUUUUUAGAAAGAAAUUCCCUCCCGGUCGACUCAUCCCGGACGAAGCCCACAGAGAACUAGAAGUUCACCCAGUAAUAGUAUAAUUUCAAAGUCAUCGUAAUAGAGGAUUUCUCAACUUCUCAAUGCUCAGUUUGAUUCUAUAAAGAGUCCACGCUUCUCCUCUAAGGGUGUUCUCUAUCUGGGUGCAUUAUCUUUGGUGCCUUCUGUGUCUGAAAGCUCUAAAAUAGUCUGCUAGGAUAUGCUCCGUAGGCUGUUGUGGGGGGAGUACCAGUUGAUUGAUUCAUCAGAAGAUCUUAUUUCUUAUAUCCUUGCGGGGAUGGGGUAUGCUCUAUCUUCUUCUGUGAAUGUUCAUUAUGUUAAAAUUUUAGAUUCUCUAUUCGGAAUUUGGGGGAGAGAAGGUGGGCCUCAUGGUAGUGUGUCUCAUGGGCUCAUGGUUCUGAUUUGAUUGAAUGAGUGUUAUCUGGUUUGAUCAAUGUCCGUUCUUUUGAUAAAAUUAAUGUUUUUGCCCAUGAAGCUUUAGAGACUUCAAAGGCAAACUAUGUUCCGUUUGUUGCUGUCAUGGCUGCGGCUGGAGCAUUGAGAGCUCUCAAUAAAUCCACAAUGAGUGGUCUGUGACUAGAGACUAUUUCCAGACUAAGGAUUUCUGCAGAGAAUCGGAUAGAAUCUGUUCCAAGAAAUAUUAUUUUUAGAAGUGGUGUUACUAAUUUAGGUAAUGAUCUCACAAACAGUUUUCUACUGCAGUGUUUUUCAUUAGCACUUGCUCGAAGUGGCUUGGUUUCUGCAAAGGCCCCUCUGCUUAUAUGCCUUGCAUCUGCAUUGUCGACUGAAAUCUUUCCCUCAAGACGUUUAUAUACUAAAUUGCUUGAUUUCCCACAUGCCAACUCAGUAAGACUGGGGCAUGAUGAGGUAAAAAAACAUGUAGAUAGUGUUCCUUUUAAGGAAGCAGGGGCCAUGAUUGGUGUUUUCUGCAAUCUGUAUGCUUCAGUAGAUGUAGAAAGUAAAUGUGUGGUGGAGAAUCUUCUAUGGGAUUACUAUCAAGAUAUCUACUGGGGACAUAGGCGGGCAGCUUUCUUGCUUCGAGGUAGAGAGGAUGAACUACUUCGGGAUAUGGAGAAAAUUGCUGAAUCUGCUUUCCUUAUGGUUGUACUUUUUGCAUUGACCGUCACAAAAUACAAAUUAAAUUCAAAAUUCAGCCAGGCAACACACAAGGACAUAUCAGUACGCAUAUUAGUUUCAUUUUCUUGUCUAGAGUACUUCCGCCGCAUUCUUUUACCAGAGUAUAUGGAUACAAUUUGAGGGGUUGUAGGGAGUGUUCAGGAGAAUGAAUCUGCUAUAGUCUCUUUUGUGGAAUCUAUGCCUUCUUACACGGACUUGGCAAAUGGACCAGAUUUCUCCUCCUCUCAGAAGAUGGAAUAUGUAUGGUACAAGGAUGGUGUGCAAACUGCUUGCAUUUUGUUUUACCUACGUGUCAUUCCAACUUGCAUUGAUAAUGUGCCUAUUUUUGUACUGAGGAAGGUGGUAGCUCCGACUAUGUUUCUGUAUCCUUGAAGUAAACAAUCAAAUUUUUUUAAUGUGCCUAUUUUUGUACUUAGGAAGGUGGUAGCUCCGACUAUGUUUCUGUAUCCUUGAAGUAAACAAUCAAAUUUUACGAGAACCUCAGCAUUCUAGAUCAUGGUGAACAUUUUACUUCCUUAUCAAAUGCAAUUAGACAUAUGGGAAAUCCAAAUGGAAAAGUAGCUAGAUCAUCACAUUCCAUGUUUUCAGCAUUCAUAUCUUCAGGGAAGGAUUCUGAUCAGGAUGAAAGAGUAUCAUUAAAGGAGCAGCUUGCUUUCUAUUACAUGCAGAGAUCUUUAUUGGGAUAAACCGGCAUCACUCCUUUUGAGGGUAUGGCUUCAGGAGUUGCAGCCUUGGUUCAUUAUCUUCCUGCUGGAAGUCCAGCCAUUUUGUUGCGUCCACAGUCUUGUGGAAAAAGCCAACACACAAUGCGGUGACAUCUUCUCUCAAGAGACUGUUAUGGGGAAGAACUGGCAUGGAGAGUCGGAGCCUUGCAAGAAAAUUCUAGAGUUGCUUCUACGGCUUAUCUCCCUUGUUGAUAUACAGGUGCUACCACACUUGAUGAAGUUGUUGGCACAGCUGGUCGUCCAGCUAUCCAAAGAUGGCCAGAAUAUGGGUUCUCAAUCAGCUAUAUUCACAGGUUGCAGAGUCUGGAGAUGUCACACGCAAUCAUGGCUGCAGUCAUUGUCUUACCUUUGUGAUCAAGCUACAAGUAGAAGUGCCACCUACAAAGGGAUGGAAAGAGUAAAAUACGACUGCCGCACGGGGUACAGACUCAUUAAGCCUGAUUAGACUAAAUGCAUGACUCUGAGGCAUUGACUUUGCACCUAAUUGAUUUCUUGUCCGCAGUCCUCUCUUACUCUGUGAUCUAGUUACAUGGGUCACACCUUGAAGUCUGUCACAGCACCUAUUUGCUGCAGGAGCUGGUAUAACAUCAAUGACACUGGAAUUGGGAAUGCCAGGCCGGCUACUCGAAAAUCCUGGAAUCAUGACAGAAGUUCAACAAGCUGUCUAGAAAGUUGACUUUGAUACUCUCAAGAUUAAUAGACGAUUGCCCUUUGUCUUUUAGAACUUUAGCAAAUGCAGAUGAAUGCGGUUAUAUUGUCUCAAACAAUGCGCAUAGGAAACAAGAGUGAGUCUUGAUCCGAAUUCUAAAAAUGGGAUGAAACAAGAGGGGCGUGACUUUGGUGUCAAUUUGCAGCUGGCUCACCCCUAUUUGCCAUUCACAUCCAUUUAGUUCUUUGCGGACUAAUGAUCAAAUACGCAGAAAAAUGCCUUUUGAAUGAAGUUUGUAUUCUUUGUGACUAUCAGAUCUAAGUUUGUAUCCGUUUUUAAGUUCAAGGUUCUAUACUGUUUUGGCUCCUUGUAAUCAAUGAGACUUCAAGUCUUCAAAUGUAUGACGACUUCCCGUGCAGCAAAUGCAGCUAUGAUACAGUAUUGGAGUUGCCUUUCCCCGGAAUCAUAAAAAGCUCAUUUCUGGCUCCAUCAUAAAAAGCUCGCUUGAAUUCAAUUUCUUCGGGGAAAUGACAUUGCGAGUCCAUGUAAUAAUUUUCAGAUGCGCGCAUUUGACUGAAAUGUUAUUCUGGGUUCAACGAUGAACUGUAGAAACUGCUUUGAUUUUCUUAACUAUCUGAAAGAUAUGAAUUGGGAUU